rnacentral:rRNA from 1 species
GAACGCUAGCGAUAGCUUAACACAUGCAAGUCGAGGGGCAGCAUGGUCUUAGCUUGCUAAGACUGAUGGCGACCGGCGCACGGGUGCGUAACGCGUAUGCAACUUGCCUCACAGAGGGGGAUAACCCGUCGAAAGACGGACUAAUACCGCGUACACUCUAUGUUGGGCAUCCAAUGUAGAGGAAAUGAACUUCGCUGUGAGAUAGGCAUGCGUCCCAUUAGCUAGUUGGUGAGGUAACGGCUCACCAAGGCGACGAUGGGUAGGGGAACUGAGAGGUUGAACCCCCACACUGGUACUGAGACACGGACCAGACUCCUACGGGAGGCAGCAGUGAGGAAUAUUGGUCAAUGGGCGAGAGCCUGAACCAGCCAAGUCGCGUGAAGGAUGACUGUCUUAUGGAUUGUAAACUUCUUUUAUACGGGAAUAACAAGAGUCACGUGUGACUCCCUGCAUGUACCGUAUGAAUAAGCAUCGGCUAACUCCGUGCCAGCAGCCGCGGUAAUACGGAGGAUGCGAGCGUUAUCCGGAUUUAUUGGGUUUAAAGGGUGCGUAGGCGGCCUGUUAAGUCAGCGGUGAAAUCUAGGAGCUUAACUCCUAAAUUGCCAUUGAUACUGGCGGGCUUGAGUGUAGAUGAGGUAGGCGGAAUGCGUGGUGUAGCGGUGGAAUGCAUAGAUAUCACGCAGAACUCCGAUUGCGAAGGCAGCUUACUAAGGUACAACUGACGCUGAAGCACGAAAGCGUGGGUAUCAAACAGGAUUAGAUACCCUGGUAGUCCACGCAGUAAACGAUGAUAACUGGGCGUAUGCGAUAUACAGUAUGCUCCUAAGCGAAAGCGUUAAGUUAUCCACCUGG